rnacentral:piRNA from 1 species
UUGAUGAGUGGAUGUACCAAAACUGCCAGAA